AUAUAUAAUCAGGGGCGCUGAUAUUUAUCGGCUGAGACGAGGAUGUUAUCCGAGAACCCUUUUACCUGAUAUGGAUAAUGCCAUCGUAGGAAGAUUAAGAUACUUGCAA
rfam:Ruminococcus sp. CAG:724 genomic scaffold, scf78